rnacentral:rRNA from 1 species
AUUGAACGCUGGCGGCAUGCCUUACACAUGCAAGUCGAACGGUAACAGGUCUUCGGAUGCUGACGAGUGGCGCACGGGUGAGUAAUACAUCGGAACGUGCCCGAUCGUGGGGGAUAACGGAGCGAAAGCUUUGCUAAUACCGCAUACGAUCUACGGAUGAAAGCAGGGGACCGCAAGGCCUUGCGCGGACGGAGCGGCCGAUGGCAGAUUAGGUAGUUGGUGGGAUAAAAGCUUACCAAGCCGACGAUCUGUAGCUGGUCUGAGAGGACGACCAGCCACACUGGGACUGAGGCACGGCCCAGACUCCUACGGGAGGCAGCAGUGGGGAAUUUUGGACAAUGGGCGAAAGCCUGAUCCAGCCAUGCCGCGUGCAGGAUGAAGGCCUUCGGGUUGUAAACUGCUUUUGUACGGAACGAAAAGACUCUUUCUAAUAAAGAGGGUCCAUGACGGUACCGUAAGAAUAAGCACCGGCUAACUACGUG